rnacentral:lncRNA from 1 species
GAACGGAUGGUUUUUGGGGCAUUUCUGUGGAUAUUCAACAUAUUUCAUGCGGGGAAUCGUCGGUUGUAUCUGGCAACCAGCUAGAGUCAGGAACAAAGCAGUGAAAUGGAGGACGGACAGAGCUGGAUGAUGACUACCGUUAAACUAGAAGAAGAAGAGGAAAAGGAACAAAUAUUAUGGAGGGAAGUGAAGCUGAGUAUGAGCUGCAGGAGGAAAGCUGUGCUGGAGGAGCUUCGUCAUCCCGACCAUGUGUGGGACGGAAUGUUUGCUCCAAAGAUGGAGAAAAGCGGAGAAGAAGAAACGGAGGAGUUUUCAGAUGUGUGCUCUGUGAAGGAAGAGCAAUGCAUGUCUAAACGUUUUGAUGGAUCACAACAAGCUUUGGAUCUGAACAGUAUUCACACAGACACAGUGAUGCGUUUCCAUCUGCUGAAGCACACAUGACUGAAUGUGGUGACGUUCCUCAACGAGCUGCCAUAAACCCAGCAUGACAUCAUCUCUUUCACCGUGGACGUAAACGCCUACACAGUGAGUUCACGUCUGAUCUGUCACACACUGAGUUACAUUAUUUAUGUUGUUCACUCUCAGCCAAACUGCUUUGUUUUCACAGAAUACGCUGCUGUCAUUCACAGUGGGCGGAGUCUUCAAAGAAGGUCAGUAUCUUAGUCGUCAUGGUUUUAAGAAGAUCCACUGCAACUCAUCUAUUCUCACUAACGCUUUCCUGGCUUUUUCAGUUGUUGUAGAUGAUAAAUCUAAAGAAUCUACAAGGUUUUCAUCACAGUUCCAGCAGUGGAUUCUGGUUUGUGCAUCAUCAACGACCAGCUCUUCAUCAGAAUGGCUACAACGGAGCAGAUCAGCAGAGCUUUUGUGCCCCGCCCCCUUCCUCCAGCCCAGUGCCCACCCUCACUGCCCCACAGCAGGAGAUGCUCAGCACCUUCUCCCUGAAGUCAGACAUGAACCUGGAAUGGUCCCUGAAGUGUCUGCAGGACAACAAGUGGGACUUGAACAAAGCAGCACAUAUCUUCACUCAGUUAAAGGUGACACGACUCUAAACAAUCUACGUCAUGGUUUAAAUGUGCUGAUGUCUAAAGUAGCAACUGUUUCUGUUUCAGACGGUGGGAAAGAUCCCAGACGUGUCG